AUUGAACGCUGGCGGUAUGCUUAACACAUGCAAGUCGAACGAUGAGAAAGAGCUUGCUCUUUCGAUUAGUGGCGGACGGGUGCGUAACGCGUAGGAAUCUACCUAUUAGUGGGGGACAACUUAGGGAAACUUAAGCUAAUACCGCAUACGCCCUACGGGGGAAAGAAGGGGAUCGCAAGACCUUUUGCUAAUAGAUGAGCCUGCGUAGGAUUAGCUAGUUGGUGGGGUAAAAGCUCACCAAGGCGACGAUCCUUAACUGGGUUGAGAGAAUGAUCAGUCACACUGGAACUGAGACACGGUCCAGACUCCUGCGGGAGGCAGCAGUGGGGAAUAUUGGACAAUGGGCGAAAGCCUGAUCCAGCAAUACCGCGUGUGUGAAGAAGGCCUUAGGGUUGUAAAGCACUUUCAAUUGGAAGGAAAACCUCGAAGCUAAUACCUUCGAGUUUGACAUUACCUUUAGAAGAAGCACCGGCUAACUCCGUGCCAGCAGCCGCGGUAACAC
rnacentral:rRNA from 1 species